GUUUAAACCAAGGAAUGUCAACAAGACAAGAUAAAAGCUCUUGGCAAAGUAUGAGAGAUCUUGCAAAAGGACUCGGAUAUCGCUAACAGGCUGGAUCAACAUAUUGGUUUAUUGGGCUACACGAAGCUGCGUAUCAGGGUCAUGAUAAUAUCUUACAACUGUUGCUUAUCUAUGGUGACAACGUGGGCGCAUUGGCCAAUGGGAAUUAUACGCCAAUGGGAAUUAUACGCCAAUGGGAAUUAUACGCCAUUGCAUAUUGCUGCGUCCAUGGAUUAUGUGAAAUGCAUUAAGCAUUUAAGGUUUGUUUCUCUCAUGAGACAGUCGAUUAAGUUUCAGUAACUCAAUUAAUCCUCACAAUUUUUUGGUAGAAAUAGGUAAAGAUAAUGCUGCUGAAAAUGAAAUAAACAAAAGUCUUGACCAAAAGUACAAGGAAGCUUUCAAACAUCUGUUUCAGUGAAUGAUGUGUCGGCCAAGGCCUGUCAAGACGGAGAGAGCCACCACAGUAGAGACCUUCAGAUGAAGGACGGCAUCCAUUCAAAUAAAUUAUUGUAAAGAAACCUUAUUGUAUAUUAUCAAUCGUAUGAAUUUAUUAAAAUAAUUAUUAAUUUAGUAUUAAUAAUUCAGGAGGAAAACACAAAGAAAAAUUAUCAGCGUGUCGUAUCUUUACAUGUGAAAGAAAAUCAUGUUAAUUUACAUAAACUUUAGCUUUGAUUUUCUCGUUUUA